GCGUCCGUAGCUCAGUUGACAGAGGAGUGGGACCGUUCCCCACGGUCCCGGGUUCAAGUCCCGGCGGUCGCU